rnacentral:rRNA from 1 species
GAUGAACGCUGGCGGCGUGCCUAAUACAUGCAAGUCGAGCGAACAGACGAGGAGCUUACUCCUCUGACGUUAGCGGCGGACGGGUGAGUAACACGUGGAUAACCUACCUAUAAGACUGGGAUAACUUCGGGAAACCGGAGCUAAUACCGGAUAACAUGUUGAACCGCAUGGUUCAACAGUGAAAGACGGUCUUGCUGUCACUUAUAGAUGGAUCCGCGUCGCAUUAGCUAGUUGGUAAGGUAACGGCUUACCAAGGCAACGAUGCGUAGCCGACCUGAGAGGGUGAUCGGCCACACUGGAACUGAGACACGGGCCAGACUCCUACGGGAGGCAGCAGUAGGGAAUCUUCCGCAAUGGGCGAAAGCCUGACGGAGCAACGCCGCGUGAGUGAAGAAGGUCUUCGGAUCGUAAAACUCUGUUAUUAGGGAAGAACAAAUGUGUAAGUAACUAUGCACGUCUUGACGGUACCUAAUCAGAAAGCCACGGCUAACUACGUG